rnacentral:rRNA from 1 species
UUGGAGGGCAAGUCUGGUGCCAGCAGCCGCGGUAAUUCCAGCUCCAAUAGCGUAUAUUAAAGUUGUUGCAGUUAAAAAGCUCGUAGUUGAAUUUCGGGAUCAAUUUAUUGGUCGUGCCAACGGUACGCACUGGUACAAUUGGUUUCUCCCUUCUGACGAAGCAUGAUGUCAUUAAUUUGAUGUCGUGGGGAAUCAGGACUGUUACUUUGAAAAAAUUACAGUGUUUAAAGCAGGCUUUGGCUUGAAUACAUUAUCAUGGAAUAAUGAAAUAGGACGUUUGAUCUUAUUUCGUUGGUUUCUAAGAUCGACGUAAUGAUUAAUAGGGAUAGUUGGGGGCAUUAGUAUUCAAUUGUCAGAGGUGAAAUUCUUGGAUUUAUUGAAGACUAACUACUGCGAAAGCAUUUGCCAAGGAUGUUUUCAUUAAUCAAGAACGAAAGUUAGGGGAUCGAAGACGAUCAGAUACCGUCGUAUUCUUAACCAUAAACUAUGCCGACUAGGGAUCGGAUGAUGUUAAUUUUUUAAUGACUCAUUCGGCGCCCUUACGGGAAAC